rnacentral:rRNA from 1 species
UGGGGAAUAUUGCACAAUGGGCGAAAGCCUGAUGCAGCGACGCCGCGUGAGGGAUGACGGCCUUCGGGUUGUAAACCUCUUUCAGCAGGGAAGAAGCGAAAGUGACGGUACCUGCAGAAGAAGCGCCGGCUAACUACGUGCCAGCAGCCGCGGUAAUACGUAGGGCGCAAGCGUUGUCCGGAAUUAUUGGGCGUAAAGAGCUCGUAGGCGGUUAGUCGCGUCUGCUGUGAAAACUCGAGGCUCAACCUCGGGCUUGCAGUGGGUACGGGCUGACUAGAGUGCGGUAGGGGUGACUGGAAUUCCUGGUGUAGCGGUGGAUGNCGCAGAUAUCAGGAGGAACACCGAUGGCGAAGGCAGGUCACUGGGCCGCAACUGACGCUGAGGAGCGAAAGCAUGGGGAGCGAACAGGAUUAGGAUACCCUGGUAGUCCAUGCCGUAAACGUUGGGCACUAGGUGUGGGGUCCAUUCCACGGAUUCCGUGCCGCAGCAAACGCAUUAAGUGCCCCGCCUGGGGAGUACGGCCGCAAGGCUAAAACUCAAAGGAAUUGACGGGGGUCAUAGCUGUUUCCUG